rnacentral:rRNA from 1 species
UACGAAGGGUGCGAGCGUUAAUCGGAAUUACUGGGCGUAAAGCGCGUGUAGGCUGCUCAGAAAGUCGGAUGUGAAAGCCCCGGGCUUAACCUAGGAAGUGCAUUCGAAACUUCUGAGCUUGAGUUCUGGAGAGGAAGGCGGAAUUCUCGGUGUAGAGGUGAAAUUCGUAGAUAUCGAGAGGAACACCGGUGGCGAAGGCGGCCUUCUGGACAGUGACUGACGCUGAGACGCGAAAGCGUGGGGAGCAAACAGG